GACGAACGCUGGCGGCGCGCCUAACACAUGCAAGUCGAACGAGCGAGAGAGAGCUUGCUUUCUCGAGCGAGUGGCGAACGGGUGAGUAACGCGUGAGGAACCUGCCUCAAAGAGGGGGACAACAGUUGGAAACGACUGCUAAUACCGCAUAAGCCCACAGGUCGGCAUCGACCAGAGGGAAAAGGAGCAAUCCGCUUUGAGAUGGCCUCGCGUCCGAUUAGCUAGUUGGUGAGGUAACGGCCCACCAAGGCGACGAUACAUAGCCGGCCUGAGAGGGUGAUCGGCCACACUGGGACUGAGACACGGCCCAG
rnacentral:rRNA from 1 species